GGCCCUAGCUCGUCGGCUGUGUAUUGGGGCGCGUGGAGGCUGCAGUCACGGUGGCGCCCGCGGGGACGGAGGAGGGAAUGAGUGAAGAGGAGCAAGGCUCCGGCACUACCACGGGCUGCAGGCUGCCUAGGUCAGGGCCCCAGCAAGAAGGCAGCCAAGCACAAGGCAGCUGAGGUGGCCCUCAAACACCUCAAAGGGGGGAGCAUGCUGGAGCCGGCCCUGGAGGACAGCAGGUGAGGGAGGAACCGAGGCAUCCCAGAAGCCCUUCAAGGAACCCAGGCCCUGCACCACCCCCUCUGCCCCCAGGCCUGGCCAGGUGACACUUAGCCACCCUGACCUGGCCUCUUCCUGAGAGUCCCUCUGGACCUGAACAGGGUUUUCCAGGGCUUCUGCUGCUAUGAAGAAUUCUUGGGGUGGAGGGGUUGGUUAGCCCCAUAGAGGGGUUGUGGCAGUAGGUUGGGGCCUGGGUUAGGGAGGGAGAGGGGUAGAGGCUGAGGCUAAAGAGAGUUACUCCCCAACAUACCUCCUUGUUCUAGCAAGAUGUCCUUCCUUCACGCGCAGGUUGGAGUCUGUUG
rnacentral:sRNA from 1 species